rnacentral:rRNA from 1 species
AUGAACGCUGGCGGCGUGCCUAAUACAUGCAAGUCGAGCGAACAGACGAGGAGCUUGCUCCUCUGACGUUAGCGGCGGACGGGUGAGUAACACGUGGAUAACCUACCUAUAAGACUGGGAUAACUUCGGGAAACCGGAGCUAAUACCGGAUAAUAUAUUGAACCGCAUGGUUCAAUAGUGAAAGACGGUUUUGCUGUCACUUAUAGAUGGAUCCGCGCCGCAUUAGCUAGUUGGUAAGGUAACGGCUUACCAAGGCAACGAUGCGUAGCCGACCUGAGAGGGGGAGCGGCCACACUGGAACUGAGACACGGUCCAGACUCCUACGGGAGGCAGCAGUAGGGAAUCUUCCGCAAUGGGCGAAAGCCUGACGGAGCAACGCCGCGUGAGUGAUGAAGGUCUUCGGAUCGUAAAACUCUGUUAUUAGGGAAGAACAAAUGUGUAAGUAACUAUGCACGUCUUGACGGUACCUAAUCAGAAAGCCACGGCUAACUACGUG